rnacentral:lncRNA from 1 species
GACCCAUUUCUGGCCAAAGACAAACUCUGCGGGAGACUUCUGGGAAAGUGUUUCCUUUCUGAUAAGAAAAAGGCAAAUGGGGAGAGGCCGGGUUGCCCCUUCUCUUCUCUUCCUGCUUUGGACAUGGUGGAUGAAGAGGUGAUGUGUGAGCUGCGGCAGCCAUCUGUGACGUGAGGACCAGUCGCUGACGAGCUCGGGUCCCGUACAGCAACCUUCAGGCGCCAAACACACUCUCCAGCUCCGAGCUCCAGAUGGCUCUUAAACAGUAGCUGCCUAGUCUAGUCUCCAGCAUGGCAGCUGUGGCUCAGGGUGGCAGAACUGCAAAGCUGCAAGAGACCCGGGAAACCAAACCAGCUAAGACCUGCCUGGUCCAGAGAAGAUGUUCUCAUCCCACUGGCUGGCUUUCCCUUGCCAAGGUGCAUCCUCCUCCAGAGGGUGCACUGACUUCCCAGGUGAAGCUAAGAGCCCCACUGGGCGUUCCUAUAUGCCUCAUCCCAUAGUGCUUCCAAGCCUUCUCCUAUCCCUAAGCCUUUAGAAUUUUCCCAAGAUCAGAUUAAUUUGCAACAUAAACUUCAGGCUUGGCAGCUCGUCUGUGUUGUGAAGAUACCUGGCCAAUGUCACAGACGGCCACUCCGUUUGUAGACCAAGCAGGACUCACAAGCCACUGUGUGGUCAUGAGUGUCAGCACUUUUGAGAAGGCCAAUUCAGGCAACACGUACUGUGUUUAGCACCUGUUGAGAACCUACUGUGUGCAGACCAUGUUCUAGGUUUGGAUGGCACAUAGUGAAGACGGCAAUCAUUCCCCUGCAUCUGUAUAUAGUUCCUGGGGAUGGUCCCUCAAACUUUUAGCAGGAGAUCGGGCCCAGACUCGUUUACCUUCAGUGACAACUGUUUCCCAGAGGUCAGCACAUAGUAGGCACUUGAUGAAUUUAACAAUUUGUUUCCCUGAGAGGCUGGGGAAGCUUGCAUGGCUAGGGUGAGGCCAAGAGGGUAAAUUAAGAGCCAGAUAUUGUUGGGUGGAUAGUGGGCUUGGUAUAUUUCAGUGUGCCUACUGGAGGUUACUCAGUAAAUCACCGUUUCGUUUUUUUGUUUUUUUUGUUGUUUUGGGUUUUUUUUGUUUUUUGUUUUUUGUUUUUUUUUUGGCGGUAUACCCUGGACUGGGGGGUGAGCAGCAUCAUUCCCAAACCUCUGUGAUGUGACUGUCACACUUGUAGCCUCUAUUCAGAUGCGUGCAUCGAUUUUCAAAGGUUAAACAAACAAAACCACACACCUGUGCUCACACGUGUACACACACACACACACAAUUUAAAACACACACACAUAAUUAAAAAGACCAAGAGCAAAUUUUAAAAGUGACACAUGUGCAGAAAGUAGGUGUCUUGUGCCUGUUGGGAACUGGGACACC